rnacentral:rRNA from 1 species
UACGAAGAGGGCUAGCGUUGUUCGGAUUUACUGGGCGUAAAGCGCACGUAGGCGGAUCGUUAAGUCGGGGGUGAAAUCCUGGAGCUCAACUCCAGAACUGCCUUCGAUACUGGCGAUCUUGAGUCCGGAAGAGGUGAGUGGAACUCCUAGUGUAGAGGUGGAAUUCGUAGAUAUUAGGAAGAACACCAGUGGCGAAGGCGGCUCACUGGUCCGGUACUGACGCUGAGGUGCGAAAGCGUGGGGAGCAAACAGG